CACGUAGGGCGCGAGCGUUGUCCGGAAUUAUUGGGCGUAAAGAGCUCGUAGGCGGCCUGUUGCGUCCGCUGUGAAAGCCCGGGGCUUAACCCCGGGUCGGCAGUGGAUACGGGCAGGCUAGAGGUAGGUAGGGGAGAAUGGAAUUCCCGGUGUAGCGGUGAAAUGCGCAGAUAUCGGUAGGAACACCAGUGGCGAAGGCGGUCUCCUGGGGCAUUCUUGACGCUGAGGCGCGAAAGCUGGGGGAGCAAACGGG
rnacentral:rRNA from 1 species